rnacentral:lncRNA from 1 species
GCUCGAUUUAACCUAUUCUGUACUAUGCCUUGGUUGUAUAUAAGCUAUAUUUCUCCCGUACACCCUAAAUAUAGAACUUUGUUAUAAUUUAAUAAAUGAGUAUGUGUGGGUUUAUGCAGUUUCUUAUCUGAACAAGCAGUGUAUAUUCAGAACUGAAGAUGCAGGGAAUUUACGAGAAAUAGAAUGUCAUCAGUUUACAAAGAAAAUGUUAAGUCUCGAAGUCUUUAUGUUUCCACUUCAUAGCAUGGUGAUGACUCUUUCUCUAAUGUAUAUUAUUUUGUUUCUUUACAGAGUAAUGGUACUGACGUUGUAAGUAUAUGCACUUCCCACCUCUACAUGUUGGUCUUUUAAAUAGAAAAUUAGUCUAGAAUGGUAAAAAUAUAUUAUGAUAUUUUAUAUAGUUUUAACCUGAUGCAAGAUGCAAAAUUUAUGUAUUAUACAAAUAUAGGUUGCAUAAUCUGCAAUGUUAUUUAAUAAA